GCGUGAGUGAAGAAGGCCCUAGGGUUGUAAAGCUCUUUCGUCGGUGAAGAUAAUGACGGUAACCGAAGAAGAAGCCCCGGCUAACUCCGUGCCAGCAGCCGCGGUAAUACGGAGGGGGCUAGCGUUGUUCGGAAUUACUGGGCGUAAAGCGCACGUAGGCGGAUUGUUAAGUCAGGGGUGAAAUCCUGGGGCUCAACCUCAGAACUGCCCUUGAUACUGGCAAUCUCGAGUCCGGAAGAGGUUAGUGGAAUUCCCAGUGUAGAGGUGAAAUUCGU
rnacentral:rRNA from 1 species